rnacentral:rRNA from 1 species
CCUACGGGUGGCAGCAGUGGGGAAUAUUGCGCAAUGGGCGAAAGCCUGACGCAGCGACGCCGCGUGAGGGAUGAAGGUCUUCGGAUCGUAAACCUCUGUCAGCAGGGAAGAACGGUCACUGUGCUAAUCAGCAGUGAAUUGACGGUACCUGCAAAGGAAGCACCGGCUAACUCCGUGCCCGCAGCCGCGGGAAUACGGAGGGUGCGAGCGUUGAUCGGAAUUGCUGGGCGUAAAGCGCCCGUAGGCGGUAUGUCAAGUCAAGGGUGAAAGCCCCGCGCCCAACGUGGGAACUGCAUUUGAAACUGGCAAACUGGAGUGUGUGAGAGGAUAGUGGAAUUCCAGGUGUAGGAGUGAAAUCCGUAGAUAUCUGGAGGAACAUCAGUGGCGAAGGCGACUAUCUGGCACAUAACUGACGCUGAGGAGCGAAAGCGUGGGUAGCAAACAGGAUUAGAUACCCCUGUAGUC